AUCUAUGGCCACGUCAUCCUGAACAAGUUCGAUCCCAUCUGAUCUUGGAAGCUAAGCAGGGUUGGGCCAGGUUAGUACUUGUAUGGGAGACCACCUAGAAAGACCAGGUGCCGUAGGCA
ensembl:rRNA 5S_rRNA 5S ribosomal RNA